UUUGUCUACGGGACGCAGCAGUAGGGAAUUUUCGUCAAUGGGCGCAAGCCUGAACGAGCAAUGCCGCGUGAACGAGGAAGGUCUUCGGAUCGUAAAGUUCUGUUGAAGGGGAAAAAGAGCGGAGAGAGGAAAUGGUCCCCGAUUGAUAUUACCCUUCGAGGAAGUCACGGCUAACUACGUGCCAGCAGCCGCGGUAAUACGUAGGUGGCGAGCGUUAUCCGGAAUGAUUGGGCGUAAAGGGUGCGUAGUCGGCCUGCUAAGUCUGGAGUGAAAGGUACCGGCUCAACCGGUACAGGCUC
rnacentral:rRNA from 1 species